AGGAUCAUUAGAAUUUUGAAUGCAAGCUAGAGACCCGGGUCCGGCCCCCGGAGGGUUCCACAACCCCGGAGGGGCUGCGCCCGGUUGUCUGCCGAUGCUGCUUCAAACCCUCUGUGUACCUUUACCACCGUUGCUUCCCGUCAGGCUUCUGGCCUGGCGGGGAGGUAAUCCUAAACUCAUGUUUUCCAUGUAGUCAGUAUGAGCGGCUCCGCCGCGAAAAAUAAAAAGUUAAAACUUUCAGCAACGGAUCUCUUGGUUCUCGCAUCGAUGAAGAACGCAGCGAAAUGCGAUAAGUAGUGUGAAUUGCAGAAUUCAGUGAAUCAUCGAAUCUUUGAACGCACAUUGCGCCCUCUGGUAUUCCGGAGGGCAUGCCUGUCCGAGCGUCAUUAAGCCCCAUCAAGCAAUAUUUUGCUUGGUAAUGGUGGAAGAUCGACCUUUGCGGCGUUCUCCAUUCAAAGUGAUCUGGCGGAGAGCCCCUGGUCUUCGUGGACGUAGUAAGAUUUUCUAUCGUCUACCGAAUGGGCCGGUUAUCCAGCCGUCAACGUACGCUUCUGGGAUUUCCUCGGAUCAGGUAGGGAUACCCGCUGAACUUAAGCAUAUCAAUAAGCGGA
rnacentral:rRNA from 1 species